UGCAGCAGUGUUCCCCUGGGUUCCUGUGGUGGGGGUGGGGGCUGUCCUGACUGCUGGAGCUCUGCUACUCACCAUCUACUGCACUCUGAAGAGGAGAUCCACAGGAGGAAGUGAUACCACAGCAGACACACAGAAUGUGAGAGACUCUCCCAGUGACACAGCCCCUCAGAUAGAUGCUGAGCCCUCCGAUUAUGAGAACUGGAGCAAACCACCACAGGACCUGGACAGUGACACAGACCCUCAAAUAGAUGCUGAGCCCUCUGAUUAUGAGAACUGGAGAGAACCACAAAAGAACCUGGACUGAAGAGAACCAUAAAAGAACCUGGACUGAAGAGAACCACCACAGAAUUUGGACUGAAGAGAACCAAAACAGAACCUGGACUGAAGAGAA